ncrna:Methanoculleus sp. MH98A S15-Methanomicrobia ribosomal protein leader
AGCACGAUCACGUGCUGACUGUGGUAAGUCCGACGUGCUCCCGGAAGCACUGCCCGCAAGGGCUCGGGAUUAC